ACUUACAAUAUGCACAAAAAGAGUCAAGAAUGCUAUAAUUCUUGAGGAGGUUGUUUUCUGACGUCUCAGGGACAUCUAAUCUUAAAACCAGCCUGUGUACUGCUGAGUCUGUGGAUAGAACACUGAGUAUCAGAAGAACUUGUAAAACCUGCACAAGUUAGAAUAGUUGAAGGGAUGUCUAAGGCAGCCCGGGGUGGCUGAGCAAGGCUCACGGUGGGACUCAGCUGAGAGAUCAUUACGGCAGCUAGUGAAGCUUAAAGAAGUCUACAAAACUUUCAGGAGCCCCUUUGGGAUUGCAGGCUGCCUGGGAUUGUCCCCAGGGUCUCAGGCCUGUAGGGAAGAGCCUUCCUUAGUGAAAAAAGAGCACUGAAUGGGAGACCUUACUUUUCAUGGCCAACAAGUAAUGGAUUUUUUCAGAGCAGAGGAGAACUAAAAUGAAAUACCUUGGAUACCUCAGAACUUAAAUGGCACUGUGACACUGAGAGAUCUCAUGUAGCUUCUGAAUGUACCAAAAUAAAACACUCCCUGUGGUGCAACAGAAGGGAACUGCUCCUCUGUCUGACGUGCAGAAGAAUCAUCUCGGUUGGAAAAGACCCUCAGGAUCAUCAAACUAAACGUGCUAUCAAAAAGCGAUGCCCCAUAGACUUAGAUGAUCUGGGAGACAUUACUGGGGAGUGCCAAUGUUGUUGAUUUGGAAACCGAGAUUGUUGCAAUGAAUGCCUAAUUGGGAAAGAAGUUGGAUAUCUAAGCUUGUCCCCUUCUACUUCAGUAAUUCAGUUUUUGUAGGUAUUGUAUUAGAAAAGCUUCUGUGUUGGUAAAACUGAAGGAGUCCAUUGUGAGCCUGCUGGGAUACAUGGUCUCUACAGGUUGUUUCCUGGACAAUGUUUUUUUUCAAGUAGAAGUGCAGGAGGAGGAGAAUGGGCAUCUGAAUGCUUGUUAGCAGUGUUAAGAGGUGGGACAGAAGAAAUUUUUGGUAUUUGAUACCACUUACCAAGAUCCAAAAAUAAAGCUACGGUUUUUAGAAAGGAUGUCUCAGAGGACUCUCAAUAAACCAUGGUGUCAAUUCCUUCCGCUUGUCACGUACAGCUCAGUGCUGUGUUGCUUUGCCAGUGAAUAGAGCUUCACUUACUGGGACUCCCUGAGUGGAUUAAGGUAAUUUCUUUGAAGAAGGAGUGAAAUACUAAGCACACAGGUUGCACAAAAGAGGUGAAUUCUGUCAUUUCUUUUAGCCUUCAAAGUAAAUUAAAAUGCAUAAACAGCUGGUGCACAUCUGUUCCUGGAUUCAGGUCCUACUUGCCUUGUAUCUUCAGCUCAGGAAAUUUUCUCUUUUCUCUAUUUGUUAAAUGUUACUUUUCAGUGUUUUUCUGGAUCAAUUUUGAUUUCAUGCUUUUGGUGUUAUACUUGGGAUACAUAAGCAUUUUAAAAAUUGUUUGUUUACCAUUAAAAAAAAAAUAAGAGGCUGAAGAGGAAAAAGAUAAGAAAUGUAAUAUAUCCUGUAUGCUUUAUUUAUACAAAUUGGAAGCAUAUGGAUAUUAGAUGUAAAUAAUCUGGAGUUGCUGAGAAAGUGAAGUUUCUGUCCCAGGAGGAAUUUCGGUACUUUGAUGUUGGUUUUGUCUUUGAAGAAAAUGAUAAUCAAAAUAUUGUUAUGGAUUUCAGAACAAAACCUUUAAAGACCUCCAUAAAUCAAGAAACAUUUAUAUGAAAAUAUUUGGCAAAAAUUAUAUGGAGUAUGAGCAUACUGUUUUUAUACAAAAUAUUUUAAAAUUGCACAUGAGAAAUUAACUGGAGUGGGUAUCAUUCUAAGAUUGUUUCUGUUAUUACCUUUUAG